UGGGGAAUAUUGCACAAUGGGGGAAACCCUGAUGCAGCGACGCCGCGUGAGUGAAGAAGUAUUUCGGUAUGUAAAGCUCUAUCAGCAGGGAAGAAAAUGACGGUACCUGAGUAAGAAGCCCCGGCUAACUACGUGCCAGCAGCCGCGGUAAUACGUAGGGGGCAAGCGUUAUCCGGAUUUACUGGGUGUAAAGGGAGCGUAGACGGCAGGGCAAGUCUGAAGUGAAAGGCGGGGGCUCAACCCCCGGACUGCUUUGGAAACUGUCCGGCUGGAGUGCAGGAGAGGUAAGUGGAAUUCCUAGUGUAGCGGUGAAAUGCGUAGAUAUUAGGAGGAACACCAGUGGCGAAGGCGGCUUACUGGACUGUAACUGACGUUGAGGCUCGAAAGCGUGGGGAGCAAACAGG
rnacentral:rRNA from 1 species